AUUGAACGCUGGCGGCAUGCCUUACACAUGCAAGUCGAACGGCAGCACGGGAGCAAUCCUGGUGGCGAGUGGCGAACGGGUGAGUAAUAUAUCGGAACGUGCCCAGUCGUGGGGAUAACGUAGCGAAAGCUACGCUAAUACCGCAUACGAUCUAUGGAUGAAAGCGGGGGAUCGCAAGACCUCGCGCGAUUGGAGCGGCCGAUAUCAGAUUAGGUAGUUGGUGAGGUAAAGGCUCACCAAGCCGACGAUCUGUAGCUGGUCUGAGAGGACGACCAGCCACACUGGGACUGAGACACGGCCCAGACUCCUACGGGAGGCAGCAGUGGGGAAUUUUGGACAAUGGGCGCAAGCCUGAUCCAGCAAUGCCGCGUGCAGGAUGAAGGGCCUUCGGGUUGUAACUGCUUUGUACGGAACGAACGGUGAGCUCUAAUACAGUUGUCUAAUGACGGUACCGUAAGAAUAAGACACCGG
rnacentral:rRNA from 1 species